AACGUGGCAAGCCCCGUCUCUACAAAAGAAACCAAAAAAAUUAUCCAAGUGUGGUGGUGGGCACCUAUAGUCCCAGCUACUCGGGAGGCUGAGGUAGGAGGAUUGCUUGAACCCGGGAGGUCGAGGCUGCAGUGAGCUGUGAUUGCACCACUGCACUCCAGCCUGGGCAAGACCCUGUCUCAAAAAAAGUAAAUAAAAUAAAUAAAAAGUAAAUAAAUAAAACUUUCUUAAUUAACUUUACCAUAAAUGUAAAUGCUCUGGCCAAUAAUCUGAUUAUUUAAAAAACAAACAAACAAACAAACAAGAACACCUUGCUCUUUCUCCUUGCCAGCAGAGGGCAAAUUUUAUGUGAUACUCCACAUACUGUGUGUGCGUGUGUCUGUAUGUGUACAUGCGCGUCUGUCUUUCUCCUUCGUUUCUCUUCUUUCUCUCUUCGUCUCUCCCACUUUCUCCCUCUGUCCUUCCCUCCCAGAGCUACACAUUAUAUUUGCAGAUCCUAGUUAGGAAAGUGAUUCCAUGAGGGCAGAGAGUAGUCCUGGAGAAUGCAAGUAUCUUUUUCUUCAAAAAAAAUACAUUGAUAUAAAGGCAUCUAACUCUCUGUGACAUCCUGUUCAAAGAAGAGAAAAUAGAAGGGAAACGACCUCCCUGUGUUCUGUUUGCUGUCCUGCAGGCCCCUUCAAUUUUCUGAUAACUCGAGUCUCCUAGGCACGUCUGGGGGAACUGAAAGUAGCCUAAGAGAUCUUCUGGGUUAAAUAUGGUGCAAACAGAAGCCACAUUCAUGACUUCUAGAGAAUUCAAGCAGGUCUGAGACAUCUAAACCAAAGAAAUGUAUUCGAAAAAAACUCAUCAAAAGAUCCCACAGUGAAAAACCCAUUUGGUGACCUGAUGUUAAAUCCCACUUUUCGGAAGCAGGAGGAUCACUUGAGACUGGGAGGUUGAGGCUGCAGUGAGCUGUGAUUGUACCAUUGCACUCCAGCCUGGGUGACAGAGUGAGAUCCUGUCUCAAAAAUAAAAACAAAAAAGAAGCCCACUUUUUGGCUGGGCAAAGUGACUCACACCUGUAAUCCCAAUAUUUUGGGGGAGGCUGAGGUGGGAGGAUUGCUUGAGCCCAUGAAUUCAAGACUAGCCUGGACAACACAGCAAGACCCCAUCUCUACCAAAAAAAAAAGAAAGAAAGAAAAGAAAGAAAAGAAAGAAAGAAAGAAAGAAAAUCAGCCAAGUGUGGUGGCACGCCUGUAGUCCCAGCUACUCAGGAAGCUGAGGCAGGAGGAUCACUUGAGCCCAGGAGUUCAAGGCUAUAAUGAGUUACGAUCACACCACUGCAUUCCAGCCUGGGUGACAGAGCAAGACUCCGUCUCAAAAAUUCCACUUUUCUUUUCCUCAUUUCUGCUGACAAAGUUAGGCAACAAGAAAGACCACUCUGGCUCCUUAGGACAUACUCUCCUCUCCACAGCUCAGCAGCUUACCACAGGAGGAAGCUGUAGGACCAGCGUCAAUCUCCGGGUAAACAAGAGGCAGAAGCCUCCACCCUGGGCUCUGAAGACACUGAGCACACUCAAUUGUCACCCCCGCCAGCCCACUCCCACCUCUUGCCUUCUUUUCCCAUAAAGCACAUACCACCUCCUAACAGACUAUAUGAUUUAUUUUCCCCACUUUCCUACUAAAAUGUAGGCUCCAAGAGGUCAAAGUCCUGUGUCAGACACACCAGUGCCUGACACUUGCAGAAGCUAAGAAAUUUUUUUAAAUAAAUGCCACAGAGAUAAGUGGGAAAAAGUAUUUUAAUAUUAUACAUGAUCACGUUAAAAAAUAAGACCACUCAAGAUCGCCUGCGUUGUAUUCUCACCAAAACAAUGAACCUGAAAGAAGUAAUGAGGAAACAAUCAGACACUUCCAGAUCUUGGGACCGCCUACAAGACAACUGGCCUGGAUUCCUCAAAAAUGCCAGAGUCAUGGGGAAAAAAGAAGGGGAACUGUUUUAGAUGCACAGUGACUAAAGAGACAGGACAACCAAAUGAAAUACAUGAUCUCUAACUGGACCCUUUAAACAGCUGGAAAGGACAUUUGGGGGCAACUGGAAACAUCCGAACAUGGACCAUAUGUUUGAUACUAUUAUUGUACCUGUGUUCAAUUUAGGGGAUGGGAGCAUAGUAUUGUGGUUACAUAGGAGAAUGCCCUUUUUCCUAAAAGACACAUACCGAAGUAUUUGGGGGUAAAGUGCCAUCAUGUCUGCAACUUACUUUUAAAUGGUUCAAAAAAAAUAUUUAGUAUUAUUUAUAAACAGAAAGACAGGCUGGGCGCGGUGGCUCACGCCUGUAAUCCCAACACUUUGGGAGGUCAAGGCAGGCAGAUUGCUUGAGGCCAGGAGUUCGAGACCAGCUGGCCAACAUGGUGAAACGCCAUCUCUACUAAAAAAAAUACAAAAAUUAGCUGGGCAUGGUGUUGCACACUUGUGAUCCCAGCUGCUCAGGAGACUGAGGCAAGAGAAUUGCUUGAACCCAGGAGGUGGAGGUUGCAGUGAGCCGAGAUUGUGCCACUGCACCCCAGGAUGGUUGACAGAGUGAGACUCCAUGUCAAAAAAAAAAGAGAGAGAGAGACAAAGGACAAGUGAUAAAAUGUUAUUCCUGCUGAAUCUAGGGGACAUUCAUAGUCCUUUCAACUGUUGUCUAAGUCUUAAAUUUAAAAAAAAAAAUGGGGCAAAGGGAAUUAAAAAUAAAAGACCCAGUGCUACAGAGACAGGGAGUAGGGGGUGUCAAUGGAAGAGUGGGCAGGCUGGGAGAGGAGGGACUGUGCCAGAAAAUACAGUGAGAUCCAAGCCCCCUGCCAGGGCCUGGAGUGCACACCCACCUUUCCUUCCCUGUCCAUUUAGGCACUGUUCAAAUCCUUCCUACUCCAAGAAACCUUCCCAGCUCCCCACUUCACAGCCCCCACUGUAUAUGACUCCCACCAUAUCCCACUGUACAUGCAACACCUCCUGCAUCACACCCAUCAGCAAGGGCCGUGUUCCUGUGUGUGUGGCACAGGAACCAACCAGAAGCCCUCUCCAUCCCAGGCAGGGACCAGAUCCCUGCCUGACCUACUUUCUGUCUCUAGCAGAGUUAGCACAGCACUGUGCAACAGCAGGUACCCAAGACAGACCUGGAGCAAGAACUUUCUGUCCCUCCCAUGCCAUCAAGUCUACUAAGCGGGAUGACAGUCAGUAUUUCUCAUCAUCACACACACUACUUCUGUUCUGCAUGGUGGGCCAUGGUAAGCACCAUAAUAAGAAUCCAGUCAGUGCCACAGAGCUCACUGCUGGUGUGUUCGUGUCCUUGGGAAGGCAGCAAUCACUGCCAUCCUGUCUACACGCAGCCACCUACAGCUCCCAGCAUAAAAGAAACACUCCACAAAUGGUGAAUGGCUGAAUGAAUGAAUACCUAUUCCAUUUUCAAACACAUGUCAUAAAUGAUAAAAACUAAGAUAAAUGAAAGUGUAAAAUCUGCACAGGCAUGCAAACACCAAAUAAGUGUUAUCUACCAGGCUUAAUUAAAUUUUAAAGGUCUUUUCCAAUUAGUGAACUCAAAAUCUUUUGCGUUCUAGCACAGAGGUCCCCAACCCCUGGGGCGGUACUGACCCAUGGCUUGUUAGGAACCAGGUUGCACAGCGGGAGGUGAACAGUGAGUGAGCAUUACCAGCUGAACUCUGCCUCCUGUCAAAUCAAUGGUGGCAUUAGAUUCUCACAGGAGCGCAAACCCUGUUGUGAACUGCGCAUGUGAGGGAUCUAGGUUGCAUGCUCCUUGUGAGAAUCUAACUAAUGCCUGAUGAUCUGACGUGGAACAGUUUCAUCCUAAAACCAUCUCCCGCCUUCUGCUCCCAUCUGUGGAAAAAUCGUCUUCCAUGAAACUGAUCCCUGGUGCCAAAAAGGUUGGGGACCACUGUCCUAGCAUCUUAAAAUGUAAAGUUUCCUAUUUUCUCAUGGCCAUGGCCUUAGAGCAGACCUAAGGGAUAUAUCACACUCACUAAAACAGCGUCAUUGGGCCAGGGCAAAAAUAGAGGCCACAUGCCUGAAACUAUUGACAAGGUACUAUGGAAUUAAUAUUUGUGUCCCUCCAACAAAAUUCACAUUUUGAAGCCUAACCUCCAAUGUGAGGAUAUUAGGAGGUGGGCCUUUGGGAGGUGCUUAGGUUGUGAGGGUAGAGCCUUCAUGAAUGGGGUUGGCGUCCUUAUAAGAAGAGAAAGAGACCGAGUACUCUCUCGUUCAUGUGAAGUUACAGCAAGAAGGCAGCUGUCUGCAAACCAGAAAUCGAGCCCUCACCAGGCACUAGAUCUGCCAGCACCUUGGUCUUAGACUUCCCAACCUCCAGAACUGUGAGAAUUAAAUGUCUAUUGUUUAAACCCUCCAGCCUAUGGUAUUUUUGUGACAGCAGCUCAAAUUAAGGCAUAAGGGAUGGGGGAAGGGACCAUGAGAAGCUUGAAAAUGCUCCUCAAAUGAUUCUGAUACACACUCCAGAGAUGCACUGAGCUCUGAAAGCUGAGGGAGAAUGAAAGCAGCAAUGUUGACCCUGAACAAAAGAGGAACAAAGGGACCCUGAUGGAUUCCAUCAGCCUGGGAUGGGUGCAUAAGACACAGUGUUACCACAUGCCAGGCACUGCUGGGAAGAUAGCCCACUAUAUCAUAUUUAUUCUCGUGUAACAUAGAAGGUACCCAGAGUCACCAAUGCUGAACAUACUUUCCACAAAUGGUUCAAUUUAGUAGAGGAAUCAGUUGUGCCAAGAAAUAAAUGCUGUGCCUAGCCACUCAACCCUCCCCACCAUCCCCUUUCCCCAAGAAAUGCCAGUCUCGGGGGGCAAAAAAUAGUAAGUUACUAGAAUCUCAGACUUGGAAAGCAAAUGUGAUCAUUACCUAGCCCAACCCACUAUCCUAUGCAUUACUUCCUUCCACAAUAACACUAACAAAUUCUUAUCACCUUAUUGGAUACUCUGUCAUACAGUGCUCAAAGCAGCUCAUGUGAGGUUGCACAGUUCUGAUGAUCUGCCUUACUGUGAGUAUAAAUCUGUUCUACUCUUGCGUCCUAGUGUCUCUGGGGAGACAAGAGGCCUUCCAGGCGAAGGCCCUGGACACAGGUGAAGUCCCCAUUACCCAGAUGUCUCACCAAAUCCCAGGUAUUUGACUGCUCUUUGAUGAGCCACCCUAUAGAUCCCAACAAAGACGCUUCAACAAGCUCCUUACCAGAAGCAGGGAAGCCAUCGGCUCUUCUAACUGAUCACUCAGCUAUUGAGGAAGUGGUAGGAAUUUCUAAAUUGUUGUCAAGACAACCAAAGUCCAAAUAUAAAUCUCUUUGGGAUUCCAUCAGGAAGCAGUUUUUAAGUGCACGCACACAAAUACCCCAAGGAAAUAACAAAACAAAGGUCCCCUCCUUCUCUUUCUCCUCCUCCCCACUCUCUCCCUUCCUCUUGCUUCUUGCCACAUGGUGAUGUUUGUUAAAAAUGCAUACUGGGAAACUUUUCCACCUUUGGGGCUGAAGCAGCUGCUGCCUCAGUGUUGUUUUUGUUAAGUUUUUUUGUUGUUGUUGUUGUUAACGUACUUUGUUGCCUUUAAGCUUCAUGUUUCAUAAUACCAGUUCAGAUCACAAAGUGGGACGAAUGACACUUUCCUGGUAAGAAGGAAACUCACGGGGUCCUGCCCAGGGUGCUUCCCCCCAUCAAGCACACCCUCCUGCAUGGCUGACUUCCACAGGUGACUCGGCUCAGGCCAGGAAAGGGCGUUCACAAAGGCUUGCUGGGCUGUCCCCAUGUGGAAUAAACCCAAGAAAGUCCACAUAUGAAAUGUGAGCCAAGAAUUUAUAACAGGUAACCUAAACAAACCCAGUGCUCUUCAGUCCUUGGUUUCCAAGAACACAAAGCAUUCAGAGAAUGUUCCACAGGCCAUUGUCCAUCCCAUGUGGGAGCAUUCACCAAAGAAAUAAGCUUGGACAUUCCUAACAUGCCAGGAGGACAGGAGAAGUUCAGGUAAAGAAGACCUGGCACCCGGCCCACUUUCACUCCCACCUGCUGCAAAUGACUCUAACGUCAGGAGGUAAGACCUCCGACCCCAUGGAUGGAGCAGGAAACUACAGCAAAGAGUGACCAGCAGGGAGCCUGUGCUGAAAGUGCCUACUGCCCAUGCCUAAAACAACCUAUACCUUAAAUGGGAAGCAUGUCCCCAAGUCCUCACUGAGCACAGGACCAGGCACAAAAAGACCAACCCCUCAGCCUUCCCAGUGAGAGUGAGAUUUUGUUAUGAAGUCUAUGUUCUCUAUCACCUUAUAAGGGAAACCCAACAGAAAGUGAUUGUAACAGGGAGAAAGAAGGUGUGGCUGUCAGGGUCUUGGUCAUACCAAGACUUCAGGGAGGUGUCUCAUGGCUAAAAAACAGGAAGCUGAGUGCCAGCCACACACAAAACUUCACCCAGAAAAGACAGACCUCCCUACGCAAAGCACAAAUGAGCCCAAGGUUCCUGUUAAAAUGUUGAAAGAGGCUGGGCAACAUAGGGAGACCCCAUCUCUACAAAAAUAAUAAAAAGUAUUAGCUGGGCUGGGUGGUGCACACCUGUGGUCCCAGCUACUCGGCAGGCUGAGGUGGGAGGAUCACCUAAGCUUGGGAGGCUGAGGCUGCAGUGAGCCAUGAUGGCACCAUUGCACUCCAGCCUGGGUGACAGAGUGAGACCCUAUCUCAAAAAUGUAUAUUUUUUUAAAGGACUUUUGGACUUAGCACUGGCUGAUCCACAGGGUCUCUCAAAUCAAGAGAAUAAGCCUAGGCUGAUGCAGAAGGAUCCACUGAGCCCAGGAGUUGGAGGGUGCGGUGAGCUAUGAUGGCACCACUGCACUCCAGCCUGGAUGACAGAACGUGACCUUGUCUCAAAACAAAAGAGAGAGAGAGAGACAGAAGAGAGUAAACCGAAGACAGUCAAAUGGUUUUGAUCUCCCUCAAAUGUUAUCCCACCCAGAGAAUCAGCCUAAUUGGAUGAGCAGCUAAAACACAGCCUGCUGCACACAUCUCACCCAGGAAAGAGCCAGCCAAACGAGGGGAUGUGGCAAAUCUUACUCAGUGUGGACAAUAAGGUCAUUUGGUCUUUCAAAUAAAAUGUCCUCUGAUUUCAAUAAAACUGAAACUUACAGCCACCCUCAAAAAAAAAAAAAAAAAAAAAGGGAAGCCACAGAUGUGGUGUGAUAUGAUCGAUGUUUCUUUUCUUUUCUUUUCUUUUUUUUUUUUUUGAGAUAGAGUCUCACUCUGUUGCCCGGACUGGAGUGCAGUGGCGUGAUUUCAGCUCACUGCAACCUCCACCUCCCAGGCUCAAGUGAUUCUCCUGCCUCAGCCUCCCGAGUAGCUGGGAUUACAAGCAUGCGCUGCUACCGCCUAGCUAACUUUUUUUUGUAUUUUUAGUAGAGACGGGGUUUCACCAUGUUGGCCAGGCUGGUCUUGAACUCCUGACCUCAAAUGAUCCCCCCGCCUCAGCCUCCCAAAGUGCUGGGAUGACAGGUGUGAGCCACCGCGACCGGCCACGAUUGAUGUUUCAAAGCCUCUGUCUGCCCAGAAACCUCUUCCUUCUCUGCUUUGGCAUGGUUCUUCCAACUCCAAGUUCAAAUUCCUACACACAGAAUUGGCAAAGGUAAAGCACUGUCUGCAGGAAGCCACUCAAAGAGUGUGUGUCAUUCUUGGAGAUAAAAGAAGAGAUUUCCUCCAGCUUCCUCCUCUCCCAAGUUUGCUAAUUGGCACCCUGAACUCAUACAUUAGCAGGAAAUGGUAACAUGUAUCUUAAGAGAUCAUCUGGUAUAGUCCUCUGCCUUAAGGGGGAACAUGUUAUUAUGCCCAUUUCAUAGAUGAGGCCACUGAGUUGCUUUGCUAAAACGACACAGCUCGUUGGUGGGGAAGAAUGAGAGCCUAGGUUUCCUGCCUCUUGACACAGGGUUCUUGCCACCUGAUCAGUGUCCUGGUAGGAGGAUAUAGAGACCUGUCCCUAAACACCGAAAUUGAAAAUAAGGGGUCCUGCGAUAGGGCAGGGCUUGGACCACGUCAGUAAAAGUCAAGAGAAAGAGAUUAAGAAAAAAAGGCAAAAAUAUGUCCUAUUUCACCUUUCCCAAGGCCAGUCUUGACAAACACCGCACAUCAAGGCUUCAUUCCUUGGAACACGACAUUCCUUCUCAGUCUCUGAAGGCCUUUCCUGAGGCUGAAAUGGCCCCUCAAGAGGGAAGCAUGGGAUUCCUGGAAUUUAUGUCUGGAAAUAUUAGAGGGCCUGGGGAACAGGAAAACCCACUCCUGCCAUACAAAAAAGUCAACAGAGAAACACCAGACUAGAUCCUGGCUGUGGCUAAGCAAGUCGGGGGAGGUGGGGAUCUGUACGGUCUGUGCCAGGGGCUACCAGGGAGGGCAGGGCCUUCCCAGAUCCUCUGGAAUUAUAAGCCAACCGGACAAUCGAGUUAGGGUAAGGGAUGGUUUUGGAAGAGGCCGGUGAUGGGAGCCGGUGAUGGGAGCCUGCCGGAGGUUCCAGAAGAGCCUAGAGGAAGCCUAGAGACGCUGGCACAAUUCAGUCCUCACCGAAAUCAUUUCCUCUUUCUACAGUUCUUGUACCCCCAUCUUGACAGAUCAGUUCGCACAAGAAUGCGACCCUUUCGCUGCCCUUUUUUAGGAAAUGGUUUUCAUGAGACCACCUUUGCCAAUGACACGGGCGGGUACACCAGAUGCCAAAGGCUGCUGAAAACGCCCUUAGAACCGGCUCUUCUUUUAGAAGAAGGAAUUCUGGAAUGCGAUGUGGGCCCCCGAAAGGAAGCGACCCUACGUUUAUCUGAAUUCCCAGGGGCGGUUCGCCAGCGGGUCCCUGCGUCCUCGCUGGGUCCUCUGUCUGCAGUCCCCGGGCCGCACAGAUUGACUGCUUCUUUGUUUCUGGCUGCUUUAAGGCUUGUUCGGGAGGAGAAAACCCCACUUUAGGGGAGUGGUGGUGGGGAGGACUUUCCCAGGCUGCUUCUUUCACCCGCAGCAGGGAAGUUUGCUGGGCGCGCUCCGCACAGGUCACUGCCUCACCUUCCACCCCGGCCGCGCCCUCGGCUUUCACCCCCUUGGCUGGGUUCGCUUUUGGUUUUAUUUUUCUGUUUUAAGUGAAUAAAUCAAUUGCCCCCAGGAGGCAAAAGAGCACUCAGCGACUUGGCUGAGCAACUUAAACUUUCUGCCGGAAGGAAACUAUCAAAAGCGGAGGAGAAAGCCCUCGGGGCCCCAGACUCGCCGCCACUGCCCCGUCCCCGCCGGGGGUCCCCGCGAGGUCGCCGCGGAUCCGGGGACUCGCGGGCCGGGAGGAAAGAGCGGAGAAAGCCCGAGGCAGGCUCGGACCCGGACCCCGGCAGGAUUUGCUAAUCAGAAAACCACCCCUACACAGUUGCAAAGACACCUCCCCCAAGGCCUUCGCCGGCCGUCAGGGCACCUACUAAGACUUGGAUCUCCACACUGGAACGUGUCCUUUUGGCUUUCCAGCUUGAUUCCCAAAAGCCAGUCAAACCAGAAUGGAAGCCUCCGCUGUGUUCUACAUCCUGUGCAAAAUGGGUAUAAAUUCCAGAGAUGCCAAACCUUAAAUUCAAUGGAAAUCAACCCCCAAGUAAAGGAGAAGAUGAUCAGGAUGGCUGGAGUUUGAACCUAGUCAACUGGUAGACACUGAGAAGGAGCUUGGACAAGAUGCCAUUCAAGAUUGCCUCCAGCUGAGAUCCUGGGGAUGAGCUCGCGGAGGGCAGGCCUGGCCUUUCUCCUAUCUCCCAUUGCACAUCACGCCUAAAACAUGGCUCCCAAGUUGCCGAUGACAAACUGCCACCAAUCUGCAGCAAAAUGAGAGGGGGGACAAGUAAUGUGAUAAACUUUUCUUGGCAGGAAAUGUAUCCAAUUAUAUUAUUCUGAGAGUAUGA